CACCUGAGCACGGGAAUCGGUUCCUAUCUCCUUCCUCUACUUCCUGGACGCCGUCAAGGACUCGAACGCGCCAAGAUCUGCGCUAGCACGCCAAGUUCUGCAACGUCCACGCUCGGCCACCUCCUUCUUCUUCGUCGCCGGCCGCUUCCACCUUGUCGUCAACCACCCCAGGACGCCGACGCAGAGCAGUACGAGCAGGAGUACGAGUUCCCCCUGGAGGAUCGUGUCGGUGCUUCUACCUCUGAUCUGACAGGCGAGCCCACCCCUUCACCUAUUUUACUUUUACAUGCUCUUUUGAUCUAUUGCUAUCCUUAUGUUGCGAUUCUGUUGUGUCACGUGUCC